GGGGCUGUGGCUCAGUAGUUAAGCCUCUGCUUUGCAUGCAAAAUGUCCCAAGUUCGAUCCCUGGCAUCUCCA
rnacentral:tRNA from 1 species